rnacentral:pre_miRNA from 1 species
GGAUAGUACUUUUUUGCUAUUUUUGGCCAAUAAUACAAUGAUAUGUGGAAAAGUUAUUUUACAUGUCAUUGCGUUAUUGGUCGGAAAUAGCAAAAAGUGUUUUCUCC